GUGAUUGUGAAUCGUUGCCUUCAGUGCUGGCUGGCUCCCUCCAGCAAGUGCACGUUGGUGACUUUCAUCCAAAUACCCAUGUGAACCUUUGGCCUCUUGCUGGCUUCGGCUGACAGAGGAUUUUACACCCCAACUCGAAUGUAAUGAAAACUAUUGUUGUGCGCAAGCACUAACUAAUGUA
rnacentral:misc_RNA from 1 species